rnacentral:lncRNA from 1 species
GCCUCACUUCAUGCUUGAUUUGCAAGCUGAGGAAGAACAGUUGUUCCUUUGAAGAAAACUUAAUUACAGAAAGUAAAAGACCCAGUUUAUUAUCUUGUAGAUGUUGAACAUAUGAAUGAUCUGUGUACAAAUGUACAAUUAUUUUCUAAUCAUUCAGAUAUAACUAUGAUCUGGAAACCCACUCUGAUGAAAAUUGUGUUUUUAACAUGUUCUUGUAUCAUUUUUCGGAUGAUGCAGGACAAGUACAUAUAUAUAUAUAUAUAUAUAUAUAUAUAUAUAGAGAGAGAGAGAGAGAGAGGAGUAAGCUAAAAAGUGCAUUUCUUAGUAUUUCUUUAUUCAAGUUGCUGUAAAUCGGGAGCACCCAAAAAUGUUUUUAAUGAACUUACAGGUACAGGUUUUUUGAUUUUGGUAAAAACAGCAUAAUCAUAAUUAAAAGACGCCUGGGAACGCUCUAAAAAUAAAUAAAAAAAAUGAUCGGAGUGCGACUUUAAGUGACCAAAACGUCUGCAUAGAUCCUGCAAAGUUCAUCAAGUGAUUUGCGCUCACAGAUUGUUUAUGUUUGUCUUCAUGGUGCAGCUGGAUGGAACGGUGGAUCUGGACGAGAGGCACCUCAUCCGUUCAGCCAUCAGAGAGCUGAGGAGGAGGGAGAUUGAAGACCUGGAGGCGUCUCUGGCCAGCAAAAGAUUUCGACCCACGCGCCUUAAUCAACAGGAAGACAAAGAGAACCUGCACAGUUCAGAAUCGAACGAGAACUUGGACACCCUGUCUGAACAACUGCAGUCGAUCCAGGAUAUAGAUGAACUAACAGAAAUGGUAAAUAUUAAAGUGCACAUAGUUGCAUCAACCAUAGAAAAAAAACUGUUUUUUUUUUCAUUUGGUAUAAUCACUUGUAGCUCCGCUCUUCCAGCAAGUAUGAGGAGCGGAAAAUGAUUCGAGCGUCCAUCAGACGGAUCCGGGACCAGCAGCUUCAAGGUGAAAUGUUCCCUUCCAUUCAGUCGGGCACAGCUCGUCUAACAGAGAUUAAACUUUAUAACAGUAAAUAAGACAUGUAUAAGUGUACCAGGGGAGAAAACCAUUACCAUUGAAUCCUUUUUUUACUGAACCAUUUUUGCUUAUUAGUCUCACUUAAGUUAAUAAGCUGUAAACUGAAAUAUUUAAGCAUACACGUGAUAAAAGAUAAAGCAGAGCCAUUUUGCCAUCAGGACGGCUUAUAAACCCUGAUAUAGGUUGUUAAAAAAAACUUUCAGCUCAUUAUAGAUUAGAUUUUGAAAGAAAAACCUAGAUUUUUUUACUUUACUUUAGUGUGUUGACCAUAAAAAACGUGUUUUCACCUUUUAUAGCUAUUACCACCUCUGCACCUACAAUGCUGGAUCAGAUAUAACAUUCUUGCCAUUACUUAGCGCUGUCUGUUCUGGGUGAGGCGUCUAUCAUUCUGCAGUCUUGUAAUGCAUCAGCUGUGUAAAAAACUUUUUUUUAACCCUCACACUUGAGGCUGUUUGUUAGAUGUGUUCUUGCUGUACACAUAAAUCCUUUCCCUUGUGUCUCUAUGUAUUUUAGGACAAACAGAACGUGAUAUGACCUCUGAUCGCCACUUGGAGCCUGAGAGUGUGGAGUCCCAGAGCAGCAAGGGGACCAGGGUGAGAAUAUCACAGUUUAUUUUAAAGCUGAUCCUUAAAACUGAAAAAUAAAUAAAUAAAGCACUUGUGUUCAUAUUUGCUUCUGCUGACAAAAACAAUCAAGGUACAGACCAAUUUUCUUUUUAACUUUUACAAACAUCUGUGACUGCUGUGGUUUGCUUGCUGCCACAGUAAGAAUGUAGAAAACAACAACACUGUUUUUUUUUUUUUUGAGUUAUGACUGCGGCCUUACUCUGCAAACGCACACAGCAACAAAACACGGGCCUCUGUAGCCACAAAGUCAGGAAUGUGUGUUGUUUUCCAGCCCCCAUGCAGGUUUCUCCAAAAAUGAGCAGAAAGAUUUGCUUUGACACUGGUGUUUAGUGAAGGCAGUAAAUAGUUGUUGUCAGGGGAAAUGUCACACAGAUCCUUCCACAUGUGUCUGAACCCUUCUUCAAUGGCUUUGUUCACAUCUUUCACAGUUGCCCUCUAGCGGCUGUUUGGCAGAUAACUACUGUCUCGUGCAAAGACAUUAGGUAUUGUUGU